UACGUAGGGGGCAAGCGUUGUCCGGAUUUAUUGGGCGUAAAGAGCGUGUAGGCGGCCAUACAGGUCAGCUGUGAAAACUCGAGGCUCAACCUCGAGACGUCGGUUGAAACCGUUUGGCUAGAGUCCGGAAGAGGAGAGUGGAAUUCCCGGUGUAGCGGUGAAAUGCGCAGAUAUCGGGAAGAACACCCGUGGCGAAGGCGGCUCUCUGGGACGGUGCUGACGCUGAGACGCGAAAGCGUGGGGAGCGAACAGG
rnacentral:rRNA from 1 species